CAACUAUCCAGAAAUGCGAGGGAAGCAAGGUUCGAUGGGAAAGGAGAAUUGAAGAAGGGUAAAGAUCUACAAACUGGAUUUAUUCAAGGCACAGUACUUUCAGAGUACAGGCCACCCACCCCACCAUCUGGCACAGGGUACCACCGCUACCAAUUCUUCCUUUACGAGCAGCCAGAUGAUAGAAUAAUCUCCCUGAAUAAACAGGAAGCAAAAUCCUUCGGUUCUUGGGACUUGGAUUCAUUUGUGUCCAGGUUCAACCUUGGAAGCUCAGUGGCAUCAACUCAAUUCAUGACCCAGAACUUGGAAGACUGAAAGAACGACUUGGCUGUGAAAGCUUUCAAAGAGGAACUUCAGCUUUGCAUAACGUCUUCCAUAGAAAAAGUCCUUAACUGCUUUUGCAUGGAUAAUACCAAGGCAUGAUAAGCUGAUUUUGUUUGGCAUACACAAGUUCUACAAAAACAAACACAAUAAUGGAUAAUUCCUUGUCAGUGUUCUACUUGCAACUUAUAGUCUAAGAAUUGAAAAUAUUCCAUUGGCAAUCGUGGAAACAGGAAAAUCUAAUGCUAUGUAGAUGGCUUUAUUUCAACGCUUCUUAUUUGCACUGAGAAAACAAAACAGAUUGCUUUAUCAAUGAUUUUUGAAUCAACCUGGACUACUGUGGCUGGGAAGGCCUACUAUCUAAAUGUCAUCAAGGAUCCCAAGUAAUCUGAGUUGGGGUGUCCCUUUGAAAUUUUCAUCAACUUUGGUCAUUUCUGCGCAUUUAAUUUUCCUCUCAUCAGUGUGCUUUGGCAAUACUGCUGUGAUUUAUUGGAUUAAAAGGAAAUUGAAAUAUCGUGGGUGUGUUCCGGAAGAAUGAUUAGGUUAGGUUGAGACAUGUAAUAAAAUCUGAUUUAACAGUAAUGUCUCCAGAAAUUAUUAGCUUGAGG